rnacentral:rRNA from 1 species
CGCGCCUAACACAUGCAAGUCGAACGGAGAUCAUUUGGUAGAAGUUUUCGGAUAGACACUGAGUGAUCUUAGUGGCGAACGGGUGAGUAACGCGUGAGCAAUCUGCCUCAGAGUGGGGGACAACAGUUGGAAACGACUGCUAAUACCGCAUAAGCCCACAGCACCGCAUGGAGCAGGGGGAAAAGAUUUAUUGCUUUGAGAUGAGCUCGCGUCCAAUUAGCUAGUUGGUGAGGUAACGGCCCACCAAGGCGACGAUUGGUAGCCGGACUGAGAGGUUGAACGGCCACAUUGGGACUGAGAUACGGCCCAGACUCCUACGGGAGGCAGCAGUGGGGAAUAUUGCACAAUGGGGGGAACCCUGAUGCAGCGACGCCGCGUGGAGGAAGAAGGUCUUCGGAUUGUAAACUCCUGUUGUUAGGGACGAUAAUGACGGUACCUAACAAGGAAGCACCGGCUAACUACGUGCCAGCAGCCGCCGCAG